rnacentral:rRNA from 1 species
GACGAACGCUGGCGGCGUGCUUAACACAUGCAAGUCGAACGGAAAGGCCCUGCUUUUGUGGGGUGCUCGAGUGGCGAACGGGUGAGUAACACGUGAGUAACCUGCCCUUGACUGUGGGAUAACUUAAUGAAACUGGGGCUAAUACCGGCUAGGAGCUCCUGCUGCAUGGUGGGGGUUGGAAAGUUUCGGCGGUUGGGGAUGGACUCGCGGCUUAUCAGCUUGUUGGUGGGGUAGUGGCUUACCAAGGCUUUGACGGGUAGCCGGCCUGAGAGGGUGACCGGCCACAUUGGGACUGAGAUACGGCCCAGACUCCUACGGUAGGCAGCAGUGGAGAAUAGUGCACAAUGGGCGGAAGCCUGAUGUAGCAACGCCGCGUGCGGGAUGACGUCCUUCGGGUUGUAAACCGCUUUCGCCUGUGACGAAGCGUGAGUGACGGUAAUGGGUAAAGAAGCACCGGCUAACUACGUG